rnacentral:rRNA from 1 species
GGUUAAGCGACUAAGCGUACACGGUGGAUGCCCUGGCAGUCAGAGGCGAUGAAGGACGUGCUAAUCUGCGAAAAGCGUCGGUAAGGUGAUAUGAACCGUUAUAACCGGCGAUGUCCGAAUGGGGAAACCCAGUGCAAUUCGUUGCACUAUCGUUAACUGAAUACAUAGGUUAACGAGGCGAACCGGGGGAACUGAAACAUCUAAGUACCCCGAGGAAAAGAAAUCAACCGAGAUUCCCCCAGUAGCGGCGAGCGAACGGGGAGCAGCCCAGAGUCUGAAUCAGCUUGUGUGUUAGUGGAACGGUCUGGAAAGUCCGACGGUACAGGGUGAUAGUCCCGUACACCAAAAUGCACAGGCUGUGAACUCGAAGAGUAGGGCGGGACACGUGGUAUCCUGUCUGAAUAUGGGGGGACCAUCCUCCAAGGCUAAAUACUCCUGACUGACCGAUAGUGAACCAGUACCGUGAGGGAAAGGCGAAAAGAACCCCGGCGAGGGGAGUGAAAAAGAACCUGAAACCGUGUACGUACAAGCAGUGGGAGCACCUUCGGGUGUGACUGCGUACCUUUUGUAUAAUGGGUCAGCGACUUAUAUUCUGUAGCAAGGUUAACCGUAUAGGGGAGCCGCAGGGAAACCGAGUCUUAACUGGGCGUUAAGUUGCAGGGUAUAGACCCGAAACCCGGUGAUCUAGCCAUGGGCAGGUUGAAGGUUGGGUAACACUAACUGGAGGACCGAACCGACUAAUGUUGAAAAAUUAGCGGAUGACUUGUGGCUGGGGGUGAAAGGCCAAUCAAACCGGGAGAUAGCUGGUUCUCCCCGAAAGCUAUUUAGGUAGCGCCUCGUGAACUCAUCUUCGGGGGUAGAGCACUGUUUCGGCUAGGGGGUCAUCCCGACUUACCAACCCGAUGCAAACUACGAAUACCGAAGAAUGUUAUCACGGGAGACACACGGCGGGUGCUAACGUCCGUCGUGAAGAGGGAAACAACCCAGACCGCCAGCUAAGGUCCCAAAGUCAUGGUUAAGUGGGAAACGAUGUGGGAAGGCACAGACAGCCAGGAUGUUGGCUUAGAAGCAGCCAUCAUUUAAAGAAAGCGUAAUAGCUCACUGGUCGAGUCGGCCUGCGCGGAAGAUGUAACGGGGCUAAACCAUGCACCGAAGCUGCGGCAGCGACACUAUGUGUUGUUGGGUAGGGGAGCGUUCUGUAAGCCUGCGAAGGUGACCUGUGAGGGUUGCUGGAGGUAUCAGAAGUGCGAAUGCUGACAUAAGUAACGAUAAAGCGGGUGAAAAGCCCGCUCGCCGGAAGACCAAGGGUUCCUGUCCAACGUUAAUCGGGGCAGGGUGAGUCGACCCCUAAGGCGAGGCCGAAAGGCGUAGUCGAUGGGAAACAGGUUAAUAUUCCUGUACUUGGUGUUACUGCGAAGGGGGGACGGAGAAGGCUAUGUUAGCCGGGCGACGGUUGUCCCGGUUUAAGCAUGUAGGCUGGUUAUCCAGGCAAAUCCGGAUAAUCAAGGCUGAGGUGUGAUGACGAGGUACUACGGUGCUGAAGUAACAAAUGCCCUGCUUCCAGGAAAAGCCUCUAAGCAUCAGGUAACAUUAAAUCGUACCCCAAACCGACACAGGUGGUCAGGUAGAGAAUACCAAGGCGCUUGAGAGAACUCGGGUGAAGGAACUAGGCAAAAUGGUGCCGUAACUUCGGGAGAAGGCACGCUGGUGUGUAGGUGAAGUCCCUGCGGAUGGAGCUGAGACCAGUCGAAGAUACCAGCUGGCUGCAACUGUUUAUUAAAAACACAGCACUGUGCAAACACGAAAGUGGACGUAUACGGUGUGACGCCUGCCCGGUGCCGGAAGGUUAAUUGAUGGGGUUAUCCGUAAGGAGAAGCUCUUGAUCGAAGCCCCGGUAAACGGCGGCCGUAACUAUAACGGUCCUAAGGUAGCGAAAUUCCUUGUCGGGUAAGUUCCGACCUGCACGAAUGGCGUAAUGAUGGCCAGGCUGUCUCCACCCGAGACUCAGUGAAAUUGAACUCGCUGUGAAGAUGCAGUGUACCCGCGGCAAGACGGAAAGACCCCGUGAACCUUUACUAUAGCUUGACACUGAACAUUGAGCCUUGAUGUGUAGGAUAGGUGGGAGGCUUUGAAGCGUGGACGCCAGUCUGCGUGGAGCCAACCUUGAAAUACCACCCUUUAAUGUUUGAUGUUCUAACGUUGGCCCCUGACCGGGGUUGCGGACAGUGUCUGGUGGGUAGUUUGACUGGGGCGGUCUCCUCCCAAAGCGUAACGGAGGAGCACGAAGGUUAGCUAAUCCUGGUCGGACAUCAGGAGGUUAGUGCAAUGGCAUAAGCUAGCUUGACUGCGAGCGUGACGGCGCGAGCAGGUGCGAAAGCAGGUCAUAGUGAUCCGGUGGUUCUGAAUGGAAGGGCCAUCGCUCAACGGAUAAAAGGUACUCCGGGGAUAACAGGCUGAUACCGCCCAAGAGUUCAUAUCGACGGCGGUGUUUGGCACCUCGAUGUCGGCUCAUCACAUCCUGGGGCUGAAGUAGGUCCCAAGGGUAUGGCUGUUCGCCAUUUAAAGUGGUACGCGAGCUGGGUUUAGAACGUCGUGAGACAGUUCGGUCCCUAUCUGCCGUGGGCGCUGGAGAAUUGAGGGGGGCUGCUCCUAGUACGAGAGGACCGGAGUGGACGCAUCACUGGUGUUCGGGUUGUCAUGCCAAUGGCACUGCCCGGUAGCUAAAUGCGGAAGAGAUAAGUGCUGAAAGCAUCUAAGCACGAAACUUGCCCCGAGAUGAGUUCUCCCUGAGACUUUAAGUCUCCUGAAGGAACGUUAAAGACGAUGACGUUGAUAGGCCGGGUGUGUAAGCGCAGCGAUGCGUUGAGCUAACCGGUACUAAUGAACCGUGAGGCUUAACCUU